AAGCUCGUAGUUGAAUUUCGGGAUUAGUACGUCGGUCGUGCCUUAGGUACGUACUGGUAUUACUGGUUCCUACCUUCUGACGAACCAUCAUGUCAUUAAUUUGGUAUGGUGGGGAAUCAGGACUGUUACUUUGGAAAAAUUAGAGUGUUUAAAGCAGGCUCGCGCUUGAAUACAUUAGCAUGGAAUAAUGAAAUAGGACGUUGAUCCUAUUUUGUUGGUUUCUAGGAUUGACGUAAUGAUUAAUAGGGAUAGUUGGG
rnacentral:rRNA from 1 species